rnacentral:rRNA from 1 species
CGGCCGCGUCGACGUUUGAUCCUGGCUCAGAACGAACGCUGGCGGCAUGCCUAACACAUGCAAGUCGAACGAGACCUUCGGGUCUAGUGGCGCACGGGUGCGUAACGCGUGGGAAUCUACCCUUAGGUUCGGAAUAACUCAGAGAAAUUUGAGCUAAUACCGGAUGAUGACGUAAGUCCAAAGAUUUAUCGCCUAAGGAUGAGCCCGCGUAGGAUUAGCUAGUUGGUGUGGUAAAAGCGCACCAAGGCGACGAUCCUUAGCUGGUCUGAGAGGAUGAUCAGCCACAC